CUGCUGGUAAAGGUCAUUACGUAUUACUUUACUUACCGGAGGAAAAGAAACCAACAGGGAUUGCCCUAGUAACGGCGAGUGAAGCGGAAACAGCUCAAAUUUGAAAUCUGGCCCUCGGGUCCGAGUUGUAAUUUGUAGAGGAUGCUUUGGGUGAGGUACCUUCCGAGUUCCCUGGAACGGGACGCCAUAGAGGGUGAGAGCCCCGUCUGGUUGGAUACCGAUCCUCUGUAAAGCUCCUUCGACGAGUCGAGUAGUUUGGGAAUGCUGCUCUAAAUGGGAGGUAUAUGUCUUCUAAAGCUAAAUACCGGCCAGAGACCGAUAGCGCACAAGUAGAGUGAUCGAAAGAUGAAAAGCACUUUGAAAAGAGAGUUAAAAAGUACGUGAAAUUGUUGAAAGGGAAGCGCUUAUGACCAGACUUGGGCUUGGUUGAUCAUCCUGGGUUCUCCCUGGUGCACUCUUCCAGUUCAGGCCAGCAUCAGUUCGCUGCGGGGGAUAAAAGCUUUAGGAAUGUGGCUCCCUCGGGAGUGUUAUAGACUAUUGCAUAAUACCCUGCUCCGGACUGAGGUUCGCGCAUCUGCAAGGAUGCUGGCGUAAUGGUCAUCAGCGACCCGUCUUGAAACACGGACCAAGGAGUCGUCUUCGUAUGCGAGUGUUCGGGUGUUAAACCCCUACGCGUAAUGAAAGUGAACGCAGGUGAGAGCUUCGGCGCAUCAUCGACCGAUCCUGAUGUUCUCGGAUGGAUUUGAGUAAGAGCAUACGGGGCCGGACCCGAAAGAAGGUGAACUAUGCCUGUAUAGGGUGAAGCCAGAGGAAACUCUGGUGGAGGCUCGCAGCGGUUCUGACGUGCAAAUCGAUCGUCAAAUAUGGGCAUGGGGGCGAAAGACUAAUCGAACCUUCUAGUAGCUGGUUUCCGCCGAAGUUUCCCUCAGGAUAGCAGUGUUGAACUCAGUUUUAUGAGGUAAAGCGAAUGAUUAGGGACUCGGGGG
rnacentral:rRNA from 1 species